rnacentral:lncRNA from 1 species
GAUGUCUUAGCUACAUGUUUAAAGGAGCUCGUUGAAUCAGAGGACAAAAUGGUGGAGAAGGCUUGUGCCCUGUGCGGACAGAUCCACAGCUGGAGAGCAGCGGCACCUCUGAUUUAGCCAUAGUCAAAGUUGGGAAAGACAGCAUCAUGUUAAUGUACCCAGACUGAUCAAUUGUUAAAUGAAGGAAGGAAGACUCUCCCCAGCCCAUGAGAGAAGAUGGAAAAUUUGGACAGUCCCCUCUCUGCUUCGGGGUGGGCACUUUUUCUGCUGUGUGUUCUGCAGUAUGUGAGGUUUUCCUACCCCAGUGAAAGUCUUUCUUCAACUUCUGAUUCCUUCUCUGUUUGCCGUGUUCAAGAUUUCUCCACUGCUUCCUGCUGGCCCUUUUUCUGCCUCUUUAUUCUCUAACAGGCAGAGAAAACAUGGGAACAGCAGUCUCUGAUGUGCUGACUAUGCCACUGUCCUGGUGUGAGAAGAACGUUCUAUCGUUACACAGGUCAGGGGAGGCAAGGGCCACAGC